UACAGAGGUCCCAAGCGUUAUUCGGAUUCAUUGGGCGUAAAGGGUGCGUAGGUGGCGGGGUAAGUUGGAUGUGAAAUCCUGGGGCUCAACCCUAGAACUGCAUUCAAUACUGCCUUGCUGGAGUACUGGAGAGGAGAUUGGAAUUUACGGUGUAGCAGUGAAAUGCGUAGAUAUCGUAAGGAAGACCGGUGGCGAAGGCGGAUCUCUGGACAGUUACUGACACUGAGGCACGAAGGCCAGGGGAGCAAACGGG
rnacentral:rRNA from 1 species